UACGGAGGAUGCGAGCGUUAUCCGGAUUUAUUGGGUUUAAAGGGUGCGUAGGCGGCCUGCCAAGUCAGCGGUAAAAUUGCGGGGCUCAACCCCGUACAGCCGUUGAAACUGCCGGGCUCGAGUGGGCGAGAAGUAUGCGGAAUGCGUGGUGUAGCGGUGAAAUGUAUAGAUAUCACGCAGAACCCCGAUUGCGAAGGCAGCAUACCGGCGCCCUACUGACGCUGAGGCACGAAAGUGCGGGGAUCAAACAGG
rnacentral:rRNA from 1 species